AGUAAAUAAAUCCCAUAGGCUUAAGGGCUCCCCAAUUCCUUGCUACAGAGCCCUGUUGUCCACGGUUUAUUUUUUUCCACAGGACGAUUCUUAAUACUUUACCAGAUGGAAACACCACCACCACCAUCUUUGCCAUUUCAGCUCUUAUGCAUUAGGCAGCCACGAUAUCUUCAGGGCCUUCUUUCUCAUUCACGCCAUCUCAAGUGAUCUUCUCAGAAGGACAGCGAUAGAAUUAGGGGCCCACCCUAUUCCAGUAUGAUCUCAUCUUAACAAAUUACAUCUUCAAUAAUCUUGCAAUUACAUUCUAAGGGAGACAGGAAAGAAAUCACCUCAUAUAAUGCUCGCAGGUUUGGAAUCAGUUGAAACAGCCUAGUUUAAAAAGAUUACUCCUGUGGGUAUCUGGGCUCAAUCCCAGUGGAAACCUUCUAAAUGACUGUAGACAAGAAACCUCCAAAUGACUGCAUGAACGGUGGAGAAAACCAGGGUAUUUCUCCUUGAACUCUAGCUACUUAUUGCUUAAGAGCACCUGUCCCCUCCACUUGUCCAUUUCCCUCCUUUCCUGUGACAAAAGAACCCUUGCAGGAAGACAGUGGAAAAAUGCCAUAGGUGGCUUGAAAGGAUACGGGCUUGGAAUGCACAGAAUCUGAUACAAGUCUACUUCAAAGACAAUGGCUUUUAUUCUUCAGUGACUGGGGACACAAGAACAUGUUUUCAAAAGGGGUGUAAAAUUUGUGAUUUAAUCAACACAUACUGAGUAUCUAAAAUGUGCCAGGCACUGUGAAAGAAACUGAAUAAAUAUGAGUGAAGUACAGUCUCAGUCCUCUAGAAAUUUCAGAUUCAUUAAAAGUACAGUUGACCUUUGAACAAUACAGAUUAGAACUGUCUAGUCCACUUAUACAUGGAUUUUCUUCUGCCUCUGUCACCCGAGACACAGCAAGACCAACCCCUCCCCUUCCUCCUUCUUUUCAACCUACUUAACCUGAAAUCGAUGAUGAAGACAUUUGUGAUGAUCCACAUCCACUUAAUGAAAGAGGACAUAAAUAGUACUAGUGAAUGAAAAGUUCAAGAAUGUGGAUCUCAAGUCAGAAUAAGAAGAUUAGAGAAACUAAAGCUACUCUAAAAUGAAAAAAAAAUUAAUGAAAAAAAAUUAAUGCAAUAAAAUAGUAUUUUUCUUUUUUUAAAAAAUAAUUCCAACUUUUAUCUUAGAUUCAGGGAAUACAUGUUCAGAUUUUUUACAUGAGUAUAUUGCAUGAUAUUGAGGGUUGGGAUAUGGAUGGUUCCAACACCCAGGUAGUAAGUAUAGUACCCAAUAGGUAGUUUUCAGCCUUUGCCCUCCUCUUUCUCUCCCCCGUCCACUAAUCCCCAGUGUUUAUUUUUCCAUGCUUAUCUCCAUGUGUACCUAAUGUUGAAUUUCUGCUUGUAAGUAAGAACAUACAGUAUUUGGUUUUCUAUUUCUGCUUUAAUUUAUUAAGAUAAUGACCUCCAGCUGCAUCCAUGUUACUGGAAAGGAAAUUAUUUUGUUCUUUUUAAUGGCUGCAUAACAUUCCAUGGUGUAUAUGUACUACAUUUUCUUUAUCCAAUCUACCAUUGAUGAGUACCUAGAUUGAUUCCGUGACUUUGCUACUGUGAAUCAUGUUGCAAUAAAC
rnacentral:lncRNA from 10 species